AUGAUCGCGUGCAUAUGUCGAACGAAAUUUUUGGAGUUCGUACGAUUAUGUUACGAAUUUUGGAAAUAUGAGAUUCUUUUUAUAAUCUCUUUUCCUCGGAUUCUCUUUUAGAAAUUUCUUUUUCUUCCUUUUCCUUUUCCUUUUCCUUUCCUCCGGGUCUCCUUCCUUCUUUUUCUUUUUCUCUUUUUUUUUCUUCUUUCUCUCUCUCGCUCGACCGAAACCGAAAACAGAGCAAAGGCUCUUCGGUCUCUCUCUACCUCCACCGGCCACCAAACGGCGUCGAACCACUUCCUUUUGCUUCGUCUCAGCCUUGCGCAGCUGCCAGAGGCAGCCUUGCACCGUGACACGGCCACCAGCGGCGGCGGGAAGCUCCGCCCGGUUUGAGCUCGUUUUGGAAACAAGCUUGAUAUCUCAAGCUACCGGUCACCAAUCCUCACCAAAAUCCAUCCACAAGCUCGCCUCAACUUCCUGAAAACUCCCAGAAGCAGCCUCACACGGCGGCGUGGCCCGUAGCAGUGGCUGCAAGUCAAACCCAACCAAGAACGAGACCGGAGCUAUCGAUCAAGAUAUCUCGAGCUGUAGUGCAUCGUUUUGAUUGAUUCUUUUUCCAGUGGGUUCCCCUUGAUGUUAUUAACAACUCUCUAGAAGGCAUCGAGGCCUGAAAUUGAAGCUUUGACGUCGAAAUCGAGCCUUGCCGGAUUCUGCAAAAUUCUGGAAUUUUUCCGACCACCGAAGCUUUCGAUCGGUAUAUCUUGAGCUACAGACCAUAUUUUUCUGUGAUUCUUGAACCAGUGAGUUCUUCUUGAGUUUCUUAACAACUCUUCAGAAGGAAUCGAAGCCUUAAAUUGACGUUUUUACGUCGAAUUGGAGCUCGCCGUUUUCUGCAGUUUCUCGCCGGUUUCUGGAAAAUUCCGGCCACCUUCAUACUGUUCAAGGUGAUCGACGGUUUGAUUUGGCGGACGAUUCGUGAAAUUGUAUUUUGAGCUGUUAAGAAGACGCAGCGGGAAUUUAGAGCGGGUAAUCCUACAGGACAGGAGAAUCAGGAAGGUGAUCGAGCUGUGUAGAGUAGCUGCUUGUGAUACUCUGAUUUUAUGUUGUGAGGUUCGUUAUGCUCGUUUAGAGUUUUACAAUUUUACUUUGUAAGAGGGAAUUGUAAUAAUUAACUCGAAGUUUACCGAUUUGGAAAUUUUGUGUAAGUGGUGGAGUUGUUUCUGAGAAAAGAA